GGAGGGUAUAGCUCAGUGGUAGAGCGUGUGCUUAGCAUGCACGAGGUCCUGGGUUCAAUCCCCAGCACCUCCG
rnacentral:tRNA from 1 species